AGUCAACAUGCCCAGGGGACGUGGAUAACCUCGGGAAACUGAGGAUAAACCGCGAUAGGUCACUACUUCUGGAAUGGGUAAUGACUUAAAUCUAUAUGGCCCCUGGAUUGGACUGCGGCCGAUCAGGCUGUUGGUGAGGUAAUGGCCCACCAAACCUGUAACCGGUACGGGCUCUGAGAGGAGGAGCCCGGAGAUGGGCACUGAGACAAGGGCCCAGGCCCUAUGGGCGCAGCAGGCGCGAAACCUCUGCAAUAGGCGAAAGCCUGACAGGGUUACUCUGAGUGAUUUCCGUUAAGGAGAUCUUUUGGCACCUCUAAAAAUGGUGCAGAAUAAGGGGUGGGCAAGUCUGGUGUCAGCCGCCGCGGUAAUACCAGCACCCCGAGUGGUCGGGACGUUUAUUGGGCCUAAAGCAUCCGUAGCCGGUUCUACAAGUCUUCCGUUAAAUCCACCUGCUUAACAGAUGGGCUGCGGAAGAUACUAUGGAGCUAGGAGGCGGGAGAGGCAAGCGGUACUCGAUGGGUAGGGGUAAAAUCCGUUGAUCCAUUGAAGACCACCAGUGGCGAAGGCGGCUUGCCAGAACGCGCUCGACGGUGAGGGAUGAAAGCUGGGGGAGCAAACCGGAUUAGAUACCCGGGUAGUCCCAGCUGUAAACGAUGCAGACUCGGUGAUGAAUUGGCUUCAUGCCAAUUCAGUGCCGCAGGGAAGCCGUUAAGUUUGCCGCCUUGGGAGUACGGUCGCAAGACUGAAACUUAA
rnacentral:rRNA from 1 species